rnacentral:rRNA from 1 species
UACGUAGGUCCCGUGCGUUGUCCGGAUUUAUUGGGCGUAAAGCGAGCGCAGGUGGUUUAUUAAGUCUGGUGUAAAAGGCAGUGGCUCAACCAUUGUAUGCAUUGGAAACUGGUAGACUUGAGUGCAGGAGAGGAGAGUGGAAUUCCACGUGUAGCGGUGAAAUGCGUAGAUAUAUGGAGGAACACCGGUGGCGAAAGCGGCUCUCUGGCCUGUAACUGACACUGAGGCUCGAAAGCGUGGGGAGCAAACAGG